UAGCUCAGUUGGUAGAGCAUGGUGUUUGCAACGCCAGGGUUGUGGGUUCGAUUCCAAU
rnacentral:tRNA from 1 species